UGAUAAGGAUGAAGCUAAUGACUCAAACUUCUACACCUGUCACAACACCAAAAUCCACUACACCUAUGAUCGAUCAAGAGCAUGCGGUUCAUCAAUUGAUUGAUGAUCUCAUAAAAUUAGUUACUGAUGAUGAUGAAGUGCCAAUUAACCAGCUAAAAGGGAAGCGCUACAAGAAAACUACUGGGAAAUCAGUUCGAGAUAAUGCUAGUGAAGUGGAAAGGAAAAA
rnacentral:lncRNA from 1 species